CAGCGCCGCGGUAAUACGUAGGGUGCAAGCGUUAAUCGGAAUUACUGGGCGUAAAGCGUGCGCAGGCGGUUCGCUAAGACAGAUGUGAAAUCCCCGGGCUUAACCUGGGAACUGCAUUUGUGACUGGCGGGCUAGAGUAUGGCAGAGGGGGGUAGAAUUCCACGUGUAGCAGUGAAAUGCGUAGAGACGUGGAGGAAUACCGAUGGCGAAGGCAGCCCCCUGGGCCAAUACUGACGCUCAUGCACGAAAGCGUGGGGAGCAAACAGGAUUAGAUACCCGAGUAGUCCCUGUCUCUUAUACA
rnacentral:rRNA from 1 species